UUGCACGCUGGCGGCAGGCCUAACACCUGCCAGUCGAACGGUAACAGGAAGAAGCUUGCUUCUUUGCUGACGAGUGGCGGACGGGUGAGUAAUGUCUGGGAAACUGCCUGAUGGAGGGGGAUAACUACUGGAAACGGUAGCUAAUACCGCAUAAUGUCGCAAGACCAAAGAGGGGGACCUUCGGGCCUCUUGCCAUCGGAUGUGCCCAGAUGGGAUUAGCUAGUAGGUGGGGUAACGGCUCACCUAGGCGACGAUCCCUAGCUGGUCUGAGAGGAUGACCAGCCACACUGGAACUGAGACACGGUCCAGACUCCUACGGGAGGCAGCAGUGGGGAAUAUUGCACAAUGGGCGCAAGCCUGAUGCAGCUAUGCCGCGUGUAUGAAGAAGGCCUUCGGGUUGUAAAGUACUUUCAGCGGGGAGGAAGGGAGUAAAGUUAAUACCUUUGCUCAUUGACGUUACCCGCAGAAGAAGCACCGGCUAACUCCGUG
rnacentral:rRNA from 1 species